GGAAUAUUGCACAAUGGGGGAAACACUGAUGCGGCGACGCCGCGUGAGUGAAGAAGUAUUUCGGUAUGUAAAGCUCUAUCAGCAGGAAAGAAAAUGACGGUACCUGUCUAAGCAGCCCCGGCUAACUACGUGCCAGCAGCCGCGGUAAUACGUAGGGGGCAAGCGUUAUCCGGAUUUACGGGGUGUAAAGGGAGCGUAGACGGUGAAGCAAGGCUGAAGUGAAAGUCGGGGGCUCAACCCCUGGACUGCUUUGGAAACUGUUUGACUGGAGUGCAGGAGAGGUAAGUGGAAUUCCUAGUGUAGCGGUGAAAUGCGUAGAUAUUAGGAGGAACACCAGUGGCGAAGGCGGCUUACUGGACUGUAACUGACGUUGAGGCUCGAAAGCGUGGGGAGCAAACA
rnacentral:rRNA from 1 species